GCAAAAUGCAAAAAAACACAACUUUCUGAGAAAGUCUGAAGCUGGUCUUCUGCAGGCACACGAAGCCAUCAAAAUCAAAGUGGCCCCAGAACUUGCCAGUCAAGAUGAAAAACUUCUUCUAAUGGAAUCCAGCUUGAAAGCUACUCAAGAGCAGCUAACUGAGCAAAUAGCAGAAACAGUUCGCCAAGAACAGAACAGUAGAAAACCCCAGGCAGAGCUGAAGACAGUGACAGAAGGGAUUAUUGCUUCUGAAGAAGAAAAAAAAUGAUUACAAAAUCACCUAUUUUACCGUCUUUUACAACUUCGUUGUAGGAGGUGUGAAAGAGGAGGGAAAUUGUGUUGGAAGAGGAGAUUAGGACAUCAAGAGACACCAAGAGUAACCAUGUACAGAGAAAAACAUCAUAUGAAGACACAGCAAGAAGGUGGCCAUCUGUAAGCCAAAGAGAGGCCUCAGAAGAAACCAAAUCUGCUAACACAAUCAUGGACUUUCAGCCUCCAGGACUGUGUGAAAAUAAAUUUCUGCUGUUUAAGCCACCCCAGUGUCUGGAAUUCUAUGGCAGCCCUAGCAAAUAAAUACAACUACUAUCAGUAUUAUUUG
rnacentral:lncRNA from 1 species